rnacentral:lncRNA from 1 species
GCUUCGAGUGGAAGGGGCACAUGGACGAAUCGAACAUACACCGGAAUGAGAGGGAUCUGGAGACUGUAUAGGUAUGGGACUAUACAGUUGAAAGAUAGCUUAAAGGAAUUGAUUUGGCUACCCAUAUCACCAAAAUGCAUUUACUUUUCGGUAGCCUAACCCUUAAGAACUCCAUGGUUAAGCGUGCUUAGCCUGGAGUAAUUCUGGGAUGGGUGACCUUCUGGGAAGUUUUCCCAGAAAGUGUGCGAGUGAGGACAAAGCACACUGGAAAGUCUCGUGGUGAUUUGUGGGGGCAGUCAACAGUCCCUGUAAGUUGCCGGGGCGUUACA